rnacentral:rRNA from 1 species
ACCCAUCAGAGGGGGAUAACACUUGGAAACAGGUGCUAAUNCCGCAUAACAGUUUAUGCCGCAUGGCAUAAGAGUGAAAGGCGCUUUCGGGUGUCGCUGAUGGAUGGACCCGCGGUGCAUUAGCUAGUUGGUGAGGUAACGGCUCACCAAGGCCNCGAUGCAUAGCCGACCUGAGAGGGUGAUCGGCCACACUGGGACUGAGACNCGGCCCAGACUNCUNCGGGAGGCAGCAGUAGGGAAUNUUCGGCAAUGGNCGAAAGUCUGNCCGANCANCNCCGCGU